CCUACGGGAGGCAGCAGUGGGGAAUAUUGCACAAUGGGCGCAAGCCUGAUGCAGCCAUGCCGCGUGUGUGAAGAAGGCCUUCGGGUUGUAAAGCACUUUCAGCGGGGAGGAAGGCGGUGAGGUUAAUAACCUCAUCGAUUGACGUUACCCGCAGAAGAAGCACCGGCUAACUCCGUGCCAGCAGCCGCGGUAAUACGGAGGGUGCAAGCGUUAAUCGGAAUUACUGGGCGUAAAGCGCACGCAGGCGGUCUGUCAAGUCGGAUGUGAAAUCCCCGGGCUCAACCUGGGAACUGCAUUCGAAACUGGCCGGCUAGAGGCUUGUAGAGGGGGGUAGAGUUCCAGGUGUAGCGGUGAAAUGCGUAGAGAUCUGGAGGAAUACCGGUGGCGAAGGCGGCCCCCUGGACAAAGACUGACGCUCAGGUGCGAAAGCGUGGGGAGCAAACAGGAUUAGAUACCCUUGUAGUC
rnacentral:rRNA from 1 species